CAGGGGCUGCCGGGAGCCACAGAGGGAAGAAAGCUACUGACUUCUGGAUUCCCUUGAUCCUCAAGAGCUGGGCCUCUCCCCGGGAGCCGGAAACAGAAAGUUGCUUCCCAACUCUGAAUGUCUGAAUCUCCCAGAUGAUCCGAAUCAGCGGAUUAGAAACCAGAAUCACACUGGUUAGAAACCCAGACUCCGGAUAUCCUUCCACUCCUGGCCAGCUAAGUCAAAAUCUCCGCACCGAGACCCGGAAUCUGGAUUUAACCAGAGAAAGAAGCUGGAGUGGUUGUUGAAAGACGGCACCUAGGCGAUUGACCCAAGGCUUACAGCCUGGACCUCUGACGACUGCUGAGUAAGAACUUGACAGACCACUCCACCACAGCCUACCCCGCAAGGUGGGUGAAAUGGAUGAAGGUGAUCAAAAGCUUUUGCAGAUGGUAUUCAGGAACAAGGCAUCUGUAUCUCCCUGUGGGGAGGAAAAAACACAACAACAACAACAAAAAACAGGCUCUUCUGGACCCAUGAGCUCCCUGUGUAGCUGCUGUGUAAUCAAGAAGCUGGAGGUAGCAGGACCCAACCCCUCUGCCCAACUCACCUUGAGCCAAGAGCCUCUUUCAUACGCAUUCUAGUCACAUCCUCAAAAAGGGAAACACGAUUGGUCAAUAAAUGCAAGAAAAAUGUCCAGCCACUCUAAGUUUUACCGUUCACAUUAUCAAAGAUUUUUUUAAAUUGUUAUGCUUGGUUUUAUAAGGCUACGAUAAGAUACACUCAUAUAUAAUUUGGUGGGAGGAGGGGGAGUAAGAGAUAUUUUUGUAUAUUUAUGUGAUUGAAUGAUGUAUGUCCAUUAAAAUUAAAAUUGUGGAAGAAUAUUUAAUAUAGGGAACCCUCCUGUGAUAUUAAUGAAAAAACAGAUUAUAAAAUAUCAUCUCUGGUGUAAUUCUAUGUUUUUUAAAAAUAUA